AGAGUUUGAUCCUGGCUCAGGAUGAACGCUGGCGGUAUGCUUAACACAUGCAAGUCGAACGGGGGGAGACCUUUCGGGGUUGAACCUAGUGGCGGACGGGUGAGUAACGCGUGAGAACCUGCCUUCAAGACGGGAACAACAGUUGGAAACGACUGCUAAUUCCCGAUAAGCCGACCCCGUAAAAAAGGAAGGUGAAAGAUUUAUCGCUUGGAGAGGGGCUUGCGUCUGAUUAGCUAGUUGGUGGGGUAAGAGCCUACCAAGGCGACGAUCAGUAGCUGGUCUGAGAGGAUGAGCAGCCACACUGGGACUGAGACACGGCCCAGACUCCUACGGGAGGCAGCAGUGGGGAAUUUUCCGCAAUGGGCGAAAGCCUGACGGAGCAAUACCGCGUGAGGGAAGAAGGCUCUUGGGUUGUAAACCUCUUUUCUUAAGGAAGAAGUUCUGACGGUACUUAAGGAAUAAGCAUCGGCUAACUCCGUGCCAGCAGCCGCGGUAAUACGGAGGAUGCAAGCGUUAUCCGGAAUCAUUGGGCGUAAAGAGUCCGUAGGUGGUCAUUCAAGUCUGCUGUUAAAGCAUGAGACUUAACCUCAUAUAGGCAGUGGAAACUGAGAGACUAGAGUUCGGUAGGGGUAGAGGGAAUUUCCAGUGUAGCGGUGAAAUGCGUAGAGAUUGGAAAGAACACCAGUGGCGAAAGCGCUCUACUGGGCCGAAACUGACACUGAGGGACGAAAGCUAGGGGAGCGAAAGGGAUUAGAUACCCCUGUAGUCCUAGCUGUAAACGAUGGAAACUAGGCGUAGCUUGUAUCGACCCAAGCUGUGCCGAAGCUAACGCGUUAAGUUUCCCGCCUGGGGAGUACGCUCGCAAGAGUGAAACUCAAAAGGAAUUGACGGGGGCCCGCACAAGCGGUGGAGUAUGUGGUUUAAUUCGAUGCAACGCGAAGAACCUUACCAAGACUUGACAUCCGACGANUCUUUCUGAAAGGGGAGAGUGCCUUCGGGAGCGUCGUGACAGGUGGUGCAUGGCUGUCGUCAGCUCGUGUCGUGAGAUGUUGGGUUAAGUCCCGCAACGAGCGCAACCCUCGUCCUUAGUUGCCAUCAUUAAGUUGGGAACUCUAAGGAGACCGCCGGGGAGAACUCGGAGGAAGGUGGGGAUGACGUCAAGUCAGCAUGCCCCUUACGUCUUGGGCAACACACGUACUACAAUGGUAGGGACAAAGGGCAGCCAACUCGCAAGAGUGAGCGAAUCUCAUCAAACCCUACCUCAGUUCAGAUUGCAGGCUGCAACUCGCCUGCAUGAAGGAGGAAUCGCUAGUAAUCGCAGGUCAGCAUACUGCGGUGAAUCCGUUCCCGGGCCUUGUACACACCGCCCGUCACACCAUGGAAGCUGACCACGCCCGAAGUCGUUACUCUAACCCGCAAGGGGGGAGGAUGCCGAAGGCAGGGCCAGUGACUAGGGUGAAGUCGUAACAAGGUAACC
rnacentral:rRNA from 1 species